rnacentral:rRNA from 1 species
AUUGAACGCUGGCGGCAGGCCUAACACAUGCGAGUCGAGCGGAUGAAGGGAGCUUGCUCCUGGAUUCAGCGGCGGACGGGUGAGUAAUGCCUAGGAAUCUGCCUGGUAGUGGGGGAUAACGUCCGGAAACGGGCGCUAAUACCGCAUACGUCCUGAGGGAGAAAGUGGGGGAUCUUCGGACCUCACGCUAUCAGAUGAGCCUAGGUCGGAUUAGCUAGUUGGUGGGGUAAAGGCCUACCAAGGCGACGAUCCGUAACUGGUCUGAGAGGAUGAUCAGUCACACUGGAACUGAGACACGGUCCAGACUCAUACGGGAGGCAGCAGUGGGGAAUAUUGGACAAUGGGCGAAAGCCUGAUCCAGCCAUGCCGCGUGUGUGAAGAAGGUCUUCGGAUUGUAAAGCACUUUAAGUUGGGAGGAAGGGCAGUAAGUUAAUACCUUGCUGUUUUGACGUUACCAACAGAAUAAGCACCGGCUAACUUCGUG